UUAAAUUGAAGAGUUUGAUCAUGGCUCAGAUUGAACGCUGGCGGCAGGCCUAACACAUGCAAGUCGAGCGGAAACGAGUUAUCUGAACCUUCGGGGAACGAUAACGGCGUCGAGCGGCGGACGGGUGAGUAAU
rnacentral:rRNA from 2 species